rnacentral:rRNA from 1 species
UGGGGAAUAUUGCGCAAUGGGGGAAACCCUGACGCAGCAACGCCGCGUGAGUGAGGAAGGACUUCGGUCUGUAAAGCUCUGUUAAUGUGGAAAAAUGGUAGCUGGUCUAAUAGGCCGGCUAUUUGAUGGUACACAUAGAGGAAGCACCGGCUAACUUCGUGCCAGCAGCCGCGGUAAUACGAAGGGUGCAAGCGUUGUUCGGAUUUAUUGGGCGUAAAGCGCGCGUAGGCGGACCUGCAAGUAAGAUGUGAAAUCUCGGGGCUCAACCUCGAAACUGCGUCUUAAACUACAGGUCUAGAAUCUCGGAGGGGGAAGGGGAAUAUCGCAUGUAGGGGUAAAAUCCGUAGAUAUGCGAUGGAGCACCAGAGGCGAAGGCGCCUUCCUGGACGAGUAUUGACGCUGAGGCGCGAAAGCGUGGGGAUCAAACA